GAGUGUCAAAGGUAAACCAUGUGAAAGCAUGGGACACAAAGCCUCGGGCCUAAGGUGAGGAGGAUGUGGGGGUCAUCUUCGCGAUGGCAGCCGGGCUGCCGAC
rnacentral:ncRNA from 1 species